UCGUUCACCGGCGAAGAUAAUGACGGUACCCGGAGAAGAAGCCCCGGCUAACUUCGUGCCAGCAGCCGCGGUAAUACGAAGGGGGCAAGCGUUAUUCGGAUUUACUGGGCGUAAAGCGCACGCAGGCGGGUUAAAAAGUCAGGGGUGAAAUCCCGGGGCUCAACCCCGGAACUGCCUUUGAUACAGUUAGUCUUGAGUAUGGCAGAGGUGAGUGGAAUUCCGAGUGUAGCGGUGAAAUUCGUAGAUAUUCGGAGGAACACCAGUGGCGAAGGCGGCUCCCUGGGCCAUUACUGACGCUCAGGUGCGAAAGCGUGGGGAGCAAACAGGAUUAGAUACCCUGGUAGUCCACGCCGUAAACGA
rnacentral:rRNA from 2 species